GAUCAAUCACGCCUGUGUGAUGAAACUCCCAUACCAACCUCUAAAUGACAGGGUCUGGAAAGCUGCCCAGUUGGUGCACACGCCAAAGAUGCUGGGACUUGAGCUCAGCAUCUAAGAUGGAGGGCUCGCAUUUCAACAUCGGUCUCCAGCAGAUUCACCAGGCACUGUAAGCCACACAAGAGGAAAAAGUAGAGAAACUUCUCAAGGAGGGCAUUCAGUUUCACCCAGACAAUAUUGGCUUCCUGGGACCAUGCUGCCCAAGACGGAUGGACCCACGGAAGCAGAUGAUGCCUCUUGAGUUAUUCAGUGAAGUACUUGUAUGCUGUCAUUUAAACCUAUGUUUCAUCAACCAGUACAAGCCAUAUGGCCAAAGCCAGCACCAAUGAUGUAGAAGAGCUCUGCCUACUAUAGUUGGUGUUACUAAAAAGUCACAUGACAAAGAAGCCGCUAAUUGGUGAGUGCCAAAUAAGACUCCUUAGGAAGCAACAGAAGCUCUUUAAAUAAGCCACUGGAAGCCACUCUUCCUUCCUUUGCUGUCAGAGAUGAGCACCUACAUCCGGGAAUUAAGCUUGAACCAGAAGGAGUCUGUCCUGUGGGCUGCUGUGAUUGGAAGUGUUCCGGGGGGGGGCCCUGUCCUGAAAUUCCUCCUCCAUGCUACCAGGCAUCUAAAAUUUGGGCUUUGGACAUGGCCCCGACGCACCCCAGUCUUUACAAUUCCAUUCAUAUCAUGCAAGUGUUUCUGUGGGCCAAUAAUGAAAGCCUUAGGGCCGUCACCACUCACUUUCCAAUCAAGGAAGACAUGGAGAGGCUCCUUUGAGAAUGUGCCAAGGGAGACGCUUUCAGAUGGGAGGAGAGCUGGAGGGUGCUGGGGAUAAAGGGAAGGAGCCAAGAAUGACAAUAAUGAUAACCAAAGCCCGAAGGCUCCGGCCCUGCCCCCUACCCCAACUCCAACCACCAUUAUUCUUCCCUUGGUUUUGUGGCCUUUCAUUUCCUGAACACACCAUCCUGUUUCCUGCUGUAGGGCACCCACCACAGCUAUUCCUGGAAUCCUCUUUCCCAAGGACUUUUCCUGCUCAUUGACCUCAUUAUGAAUGUCUCAGCUCCAAUUUCACCACCUCUGAGAAGCCUUCCUUGAUCACCCAACCUCAAAUCAUCCCUUGCUCCACAGCUACCCCAACACUCUAUUGUAUCACUCUGGAUUACUGUCUUUCUAGUACUUACACUCUGAAACAGUCCUGUCAGCCCAUAUGGUUACUUGUUUGUCUUCUAUCACUAAACUUCAUUUUACUAUGAGGCUUUUGUCUUUUACUAUGGGACUCAGUUUUGGUAAAUGCUGGGGCUGGUAUCCUCAGCCUCUUGGAAAUAUCCCAGCAUUGAUUAAACAUUCAACAAAUGCUUAUUUAUUAAAUGACUAGAUGAAAUAAGAAAACAAAUUAAAUUUUAUUACCUGAAGACAUGGACUUG